CCUACGGGUGACAGCAGUGGGGAAUAUUGGGCAAUGGAGGCAACUCUGACCCAGCAACGCCGCGUGAAUGAUGAAGGUCUUCGGAGUGUAAAGUUCUUUUCUAAGGGAAGAAGAAAGUGACGGUACCAUAGGAAUAAGCCUCGGCUAACUACGUGCCAGCAGCCGCGGUAAGACGUAGGAGGCAAGCGUUAUCCGGAAUGACUGGGCGUACCGGGUGCGUAGGUGGUUUGACAAGUUCGUAGCGCAACUCCGGAGCUCAACUUCGGAACUCCUACUCAAACUGUUGGACUUGAGUGCAGGCGGGGCAAUCUGCUUUCCUUUUGUAGCGGUGUCAUUCGUAUCUAUUAGGCGGCUCACCAGUGGCGAAGGCGGCUUGCUAGACUGUAACUGCCCCUGCGGCACGACCGCGUGCGGAGCACACAGGAUUAGCUACCCUAGUAUUC
rnacentral:rRNA from 1 species